rnacentral:tRNA from 1 species
GAGCCAGCAGCCAAUGAGAACCCCACAGCUCGUGUCCCAGCCCGGCUGCCUGCUGCCCUGCGUUCCCAUCCCUCAGGCCUGGUUGGCACACGGGAUGUGGGGCUGCGGUGCACGCUGACAGCCGCCCGCUGUUCCGCAGCCCGGGGAAACCAAGAAUAACAGCACUUGGGGGAUGUGUUUAUGUCACAAGUGCUCUGAAAUAGCACAAUUACACAUUGUUGUUUUUUUCCCGCAUUAUGAGUAUUAACUGCCAACACCCACAGAAAUCUGGUGUAAUUAACUUCGUUCCUUAAGCGAGACCCUUCCCAUUGUCUGGGGGUACUUCUUACUGCGACCUGCUCCCCUCGGGCAGUCUCAGCACUGAGCCAUCCAGUCGCCGUGCAUGGUGGCACAGGCACUGAGGAGCUGUGCAGCAGUGAGAGUGCAGCUCCUCAUCUGAGCGACUGCAGCAUCGGUUGGAGGCGCAGGGCAGGGAGAGCAGACCCAUCCAAUCGCUAAUUGCAAACAGUGCUGGUGUAGAGAACGGUGUUUGUAAUUAUGAACAUAGCUAUUAAAAUAUCAUUUUGCUUUUUAGGCUGCCUGAUUCUAGCAUGGGGUAUGAAGGAGCUAUAUUUGAAGAAGUUUAUCAUUUCCAAUGCUUCGGAGAAAAGGAAGUCUAAGCUGGAAAUGAAGCUCCUUUAUCACUUUUAAAGGCUGGUUUGCACUGAUUCUGCUCUGCCCCAGCACUGAGUGCAGCCCCAGCCCUCCCCAGGGAUGGUUGCUGCCCACACUGGCAGCUUGAGUGGGGGACAGAGGAAGGCCGUUGGGGUUUGUCUUUUUGCAGGUCGAACUGAAUGGGGUCUGCUUCUUCAAUAUGAAAACCAUGGAUUAAAACUGAAGUGAAAAUGGAACGCUGUGAAUGUUACUAGUGGGUAAAAAGAAGUUGGGUUGUUUUUUUGUUUGUUUUUUUGGAUGGCAGAACUUUAAUUAUAAGAAGUACUGUAAAAAAUCUAGAUGGCAUAUUUACUCAUUUGGUCCGUACAACAGCCAGCAAAAUCAGCCCAUAUUGAUGGGAUACGCAGGAAGAAAUGUAUUAGUUUGCAGAGCACAGCAUUCCAGUGCAAGAUAGCAUUGAAAAAAACAAGUCAAUUCUUCCAUUAGUCAAAUUCCUGUUAAAUUAUCCAUACUUCCCAGUGAGCAAGUCCAUGGACCAGGUUCCUAUCAAUGUAUUGAUGGUGAAGGCUGGAUAUGCUGGUAUCUAAAAAACACCCACAGAAUGAAACCUGCCCCCAUCAUACAGCAUCGUUCCAGGGAUGGGGAAUGCCACAGAGCUCUGCAACCAGCAGACAAAAGUGUGGAUUUUGGAGGGGAGGGAUGCAGGGUGCAGAAUGGUGCAAAGGGAAGAGGCACAGGGAGUGACUGUGGAUGGGAUGAGAGCGUUUCUGUUGAGACCUUGUCAGUGUUUGGCAUAUGCAGGUCUGCCCUCCUCUGUUAUCCGUGCACCCAUCAGCUCCUGGGAGUCACUUUGAUGAAGGAAUCAGAGGAAAAUUGGAAAAUACCUUCAGCUUGAGGCCUGAGUCAAGUGCUGUUAUUAAUAGCGUGUUUAAUUACGAGUGGCAUCUAAAUCAGGUGAGUCUGGGAAGGUAAGAUGAAGGGGGAAAAUUGCCGUAAGAGCCUCUGAUUAGCGAGUAAAACACAAUUAGCUGUUCUCAAAGAGCAGCAAAGCCCACACCUGAUGACCACCACCUGCAGCCCGGGCUGUGUGUCCUGCAGGUCUCCAUCCUCGUGGAGGUCCCAUAGCGGUGUGCAUGAGGUGUGGCAGCUUUUUGGGUGCCCUGGUGCAGGGCUGGGUGUCCCUGGGGCAGCUCCUUCCCUUUGCUGCAGGGAGGCACAGCAGCCAAACCUGGGCUGUGUGUUGGGUUAGAACAGCUGCAGUGCACACGCUCCAAUCUCUUGAGCAGAGUUGGUCUGUGCACCAAAUCCUUCCUAAGCCUCUUUCUUAGCAGGUGCCUGAAUUUCAGAGGUAUAAGGUGAGAUGCUGUGGGUCGGGAUCUCGCUUCUUUCAGAUACUGGUAUUAUUACUACUUUAUCUAAUUGGAGCUCUGAAGUGAAAAAUACUCCUUCUUCUCUGACUUCGAGGUCUCAAUGAACAAUUUUUUCUGUUACAGUUCUCUGUUUCUGUGUAAUUUUAGCAUCAUACCAGGACAGGGAGCGUAACUUCAGGGAGCUGCUUUGACACACACUGCUCUGCCAUGGGGUUAACAGCAGACCCAGUGUACCAUAUCCCUGAUGGCAGCGUGCUCACUUGGCAGCAGCAAUCAGCUCCAUCCCAGCAGCUCCCAGCUAUCCCUGCUCCUCACAUCCACUGCCAAUGAGACUUCUGCUUUGCUCAGUGCAAGCAACAACUCCUUGUCUGUCAGUGGAUGAUGCUUUUCUGCAGUUAUUUCUAGGGUCCCGUGCUGCACGGUGGCUGCCUGGCAGUGGGAGUGGGAGAGCAGACAGAGAGGUGUGGGACAGAGACCCACAGUCAGCUGAACAUCCUUUUCUGCCCAUGCAGGAAUCAAAGCUUUUAGUGUUAUUCAAAGUCAGCAUCACACACAGAAGAAAUAGUUGGCUGCUGCAAUCAGCAGUGAUGAACAAUCAUUAUGAGGUGCAAAAGGAGCAUUGUUAAUAGGAGGCUACAUCUCCAGGCAUAAGCUGAAGAACAGGAGGAAAAGCAAAGCAAGAGAUUCCCAUGUUGAGACCAUGGAGCGCAGGAAGCUGCAGUGCUGUGCAGCCAUCUGAACUCAGAGUGAUGUUUGACCUCAGAUGAUGAACAGCAGCUUUGCCUUCUUGCUGUGCAAUGCCAGAUCACCAGAAAAGACCUUAGCUAAUACUUGUAAUGAUAUCGUGGCUCAGAUUGGGUGUACGAGCAUGUUGUAUGCUGCUUAACAGCAGAAGGUGAUGGGAUUCGAUGGAGAUGCAUAUAUGUAUUUCCUAACCUUCAGCAGGAACAGCAAAGAACUCUUGUUCCAAGAAGGAAUUCAGAAUAUCUCCUCCGCGUUCUACCUCUGCAUGCUGAGACAGAGUGAGAACUGCAGUCAUGGAGUGAGAAGACUCACAGAAGAGGUCAGUGCUUACCAUAACAACAGCGGUGCACUUUUGCAGGGCUGUGGUAUUUUCCAGGGUGUUGUAGUUGGGCAUUCCCUGCACAAAGCAUGAAGGACCGUGCCAUGCUGACAUGCUGACAAGGCAGCCUCUGUCCCGGUCUCACAGGCAGCACUGUGAGCUGGAGUUGCCUUUAGCCGUCAGAUACAUCAGCUUGAUAAUCUGUGCAAAGGUGUGUGGUUGGUACACCCCAUCUGUCUGAGUUCUACAACAAGUCCCUGUUUGCAUCAAAUUCUGGACUGCUCGCGUCCCUCUCUGACUACACUGGAGAACAGCUGAGGUCCCUCUCACUGAACGCUGCUUCCCAAGGGCUGAAUUCGGAUGAGAAAACCACUGUAACACUGGGUAAUUAAUUUGUCGGCCAAAUAAUUUCUGCAGGGCUAUCACUUACUUCUCUGUCUGCAACCCCAAUGAAUCUCCCAGCUCGCAGCUUUAAUCCCAUUUUCUGCCUUUUAAUCUCAUUUUUUCACUCUAAUUUUCAUAGCUCCUACUAUUCAGUGGGAAUAACCAGAGCCAGGUGAGCACGGAUUCUGUGGCACAUAUUGAAUGCCUGGAGACCAACAACAGAGCUCCUGGAAUGGAAUUCCUCCAUUCCAGGCGGUCCACUGCAACAAAUAAUGGACUCAACAAAAAGAACAGCUAUAAGAAUAAAGGAGAAAGAGUGAUUUGUAUUUGGAGGAAUUAUGAGUGUGACUUCAUUCAGAACCAGCCCAGCACACGUGUAGAACUCCCUAAGUGCAGUUCAGAGCAUUGCGUCCUCUGAUCAGGUAGGAACUAAUUUGCUAAGUGCAAAAGUUGGAAAAUUUUGUAGCUGUUUAACAGCAAAUCACAGAUCUGUCCUCAUUUAUUUUUCCUGACACAUUUAUUAUUGAAAGAUGGUUUGGUGAGUGCCAUAAGUAAGCAGGCGGUGUUGUUCCUGAGCCCUGAGAUUUGUCACUUCGGCUACAUCUUUCUGAUCUGUGACGGAGUGUUUUCUGCAGGAGAACAGGAAUGCUAAAUAAGGCAUCAAUAAUGCAAGAGAUCCGUGAAUAAUCACCCGAGUGCUUGAAAACGAGUGGACAGUGUGAUCAUAUGGUAGAAGAAAAAUAACGUUAGCUGCAUAUUUAUCAACGCCUGGUGCCAUUAGCACAGGGUCUGGCAAUAGCUCAAGGCUUCUAGGAGACAGUGCACACAGUGCUUUGGUGCCCAAUGCUACAGGAGGAGGGCACAUCCCCAGAGCAGGGAGCUUGUUUGGGCCCGGCCAGUCUGUGGCUGGAUGGGGUAAUGGAUGGGGAUGGCAGACAGCACCCUUCGUGUGUUUGUCCUAUGCUGCUGCAUUUUAGCCCUGUCUCUCACUGCACCAACGUGUCUAUCUUAAAAAGGACUUCUGAGUGCAAACAUUUGAUCCUGGGAGCAAGCAGAGUCAUUGGAAACUGUACCAGAAAGAACCGCCCCUGUCCCGCAGCUGUGUUGGAGUCACUCUCGGACUGCCUGCACUUCUGGUAGCUUUGGAACUGAGCUCUUUUUGGGCUGAAUGAGAGGGGCCCAACAGCUCCAUCAGGAGAAAAAUGGCUGCGGGAAGUAUAGAGUGCAUGUCAACGUGUGUCUAACGAGAGCUGAUGGGAAAUGCAGGACCGUGAACAGAUGCAAUGGAAUGGCAUCCUGUGGGAGGAGGCAGGUCCAGCCGCACACGGCACUGCCACGGGGUACAGGAACGAGUUAAUGCCACUGGGGGACGGCUGAGAACAGCGACAUUGUUGUUCCCUGAUGUCAGCCCAGAAACCCAAACACAAAGAGGUGAAUGUAGUGCUAUGAGAGGGCCCUUGAGAGAGCUGAAUGCUGGGCCUGUGCCGGGGCACCCAGCAGAAUUAGAAACGGCAGGGGAUGACCAAGUGUUUCCUGGAAGCAGGGGCUGCAGGCAGCUGUCGGCAGGCAGGGCUGUGUGCGUGGGGCACUGCUGGCUGCAGUGGUACAAGCAGGCAGUGUCGGUAGGCUUGAGGAGAUCCACGUCCACGAGGGACUCCUGUUUUACUUUAUAGCUCAGCGUAAGGCGUCUCAUUUCCUCCUGUAGGAUGCACACGUCGAGCCCUUCUGCAUAAUUCAGUGUUGCAUUUGGUGGGUGGUGCUCUGGGGGAUAUUUAGAUGGAGCGACAGUAGAGACAUUGCUUUGCUUCUGUACAAACUGCACAUCAGAUCUUCUAUGUGAAACGUAGGGAAAAAAAGACAGAGAUCUGCUGGAAGGAGUCCGGUGGAGGGCCACAGCGAUGAUAGAAGGCCUGGAGCAUCUUCCCUGUGAGGAAAGGCUGAGAGACCCCACGUUCAGCCCGGGGAAAAGGAGGCCGAGAUGGGAUCUGUUUAUGUUUAUGAACAUGAAGGGAGGCGGGAGCCAAAAGGAUGAGGCCAGGCUCUUCUUGGUGGUGCGCAGCAAUAGGAUGAGGAGCAAUGGCCUAACACUUGUUGUAGGAAGUUUCAAGCUAACAUGUGGAAGAACUUUAUGUAAGGGUGAGGGAGCACCCUGCAGAUCUGUACAGAAAGUCUGAGACUAAACGCUGACAGAGAUGUAUGCACCAACACACGGCACCACUGCAGGCAGCACGACGGGGAGCCGGAACCCCGAGGGCAGCACCCGUCGGGGCGCCUCCACGGGGCACCAGCGGCAAGAGAGCGGCCGGCCCACAGGCCGAGAGCACGGAGCGGGGCGGCGGGGGACGGCGGGAAGCCCGGGGACAACGCCGGGCGGGGCCGCCGAGGCGCCGAGCUGCCCGCAGUGCGCUCCACCCAGCCGGGCUCGGCCCGGCCCCGCGCGGCGGCCCGCCCUCUCAUAGCGCCCCGCGAAAACUUUCCCACAGCCGGGGAUGUAGCUCAGUGGUAGAGCGCGCGCUUCGCAUGUGUGAGGUCCCGGGUUCAAUCCCCGGCAUCUCCAGCGGCUUCUUUUUUGCGUCGCACGCCAUUUUCUCCCCUCUCUCCAGCUGCGGGAGGCUCCCGCUGCCGCGAAUCGCGCGGCCGUUGUCCCGCCGCACCGCUGUGCGCCUGAGGCGAGUCCUCGGGGAGGCCGGGAAAGCAACGCGGCGCUGCGGCUUCUCCGGCCUUAAAAAGAGCACUGCUUUUUGCCGAAAGGAAAUACAAACGAGUAAAUCAAUCAAGGCUUUAAAGGGAAGGAAAAAAAAAAUUGAGGGAAAGGAAAAAAUUUCGGUUGCAUUGGCCGGGAAUCGAACCCGGGCCUCCCGCGUGGCAGGCGAGAAUUCUACCACUGAACCACCAAUGCACGACUUGCGAUGUUAUAUGGAUGGUCUGUCCUACAAUAUAUCAAACAUUGGGUUUCUGCUGUGCUUUUCUUUCCCCUUUUCUCUUCCCAGCUCUGUGCCCAUGAGCAGUACCUCCAGCCGUUAUCUCCAGGAGAAAAUGUUUUUAGAAAGUCGGCAAUAUUUGUAUACAUUUUUUCCUCCAACAGAUUAAAAACCCUGUAACUUUCCAUAAUAAAGUCAUCGUCCCUUGAAUUUAACAGCAUUCAGGCUAAGUAACAGCGGGUUUAUCCUUGUAUCCAGUGCUGGGAGGGCACUGCCAGAGGAGGCCACCAGCAGAGACCACAGCUCUGCUCAGCACAGCCCUGCUCUGAGGGACGCAGCCCACAGACACUGAUACACAAUGGAACACAGUGCAGUGAUGGGUAAUGGUGUAAGAGGGCCUGGACAGUGACGUAACAACGUCACCACUGCAGCAGUGCGGUGCAGUGCCAUCACAGCUCCUUGUCCCCCCAGACCUCAACUUCUCCUUUUACGCUGGCAGAAAGUAACAGAGUAAAAGCAUCAGGUAGUAACUCUUACUUAGGCUAUGCUUACAAUAUCUCCAGUCAGCCCUGGAACACUUUCUCUAGAACAAAAGAAGUUAGAGGUGGAAAAUGCUCAUAUUGAGAAGAGUUUAACUUCCUGUUUUACUCUAUGUGGAGGAAGAUUUUACAGAUGAUCAACAAAGUGUUACCAAUCCUGUGCCAUUUCCAGAGUGAAAGUGAAACCAGCCCUUACACUCGCAGUUUGCAGCUAAGAGAAUCCUUUCCCACGUGCAUCAGACAGCGCUCUGCAUCCGCUCAGAACAUCCAUGUAUGCUGGCUGAAGGGUUACAGACAGCACGGUGAAGGAGGGGGAGUUGGACCCACUGCAGCUGGAGCACUGCUGCAGAACGUGCUCCAGAAGCACUUGUUCAAGCAGCGUGACAGGCUCAUACCUAACUUCUAACUCUAGGGAUGUCUAAGACAUCCUAACUUUACGAUGACUGCACGUGGGAGAGUGCUGAAUGGAGAGAAUCAAGACCUGUAACAUUAGAAAAUGAUUAGAAAAUCAUUCCCUUCAGCUGGUUCAAAAAUCUUUCUAGAAGCCAAAGGGAUGCCAUAGACCUUCAGCAGAAACAGAGAAGGAAAAACAUGUUAUAGGGAGAGAGGAUUUUCUUAGAUCUUUUUAUCCAUCAAAAAGAGCCAAAUGCACUUCCUUCCAUUCCAGGUCACCUUUAAAGGGGCUCUGAUCUUGCUGCUUGUGGCUAAGGCUUGACACAGUGCCUUCCUAGCGGCUCUGCUGCUGCAGGGUGGGAGUGAUGUGCUCUGGGCACUGGUGCUGCCCCUGCUGUGUGCCUCUGAGGAGGGUGCUGUAGCUCAGGGGCACCGAGAGCAUCUCAAGUGCAGGUGGUACAGGUGGAUUUGGAACAAGGUAAGGAGUUUCAGACAGGAAGUGCUAAAACUGCUCAAAUCACUCUUAAAACUGGAGGUGUGAGUUACCUGGAGUGUGGUAAGUGGACAUCGUUCAUUCCCUCUUUCCUGCUAGGUAUGGCCACACGUGCUCCUGCCAUGUGAUGCCCGUGUGGCGGUGCACCACUCACAGUUACAUUGGGGUUGCAUCCAUCUCUGUAUU